CCUACGGGGGGCUGCAGUGGGGAAUAUUGGACAAUGGGGGGAACCCUGAUCCAGCCAUGCCGCGUGUGUGAAGAAGGCCCUCGGGUUGUAAAGCACUUUCAGUGAGGAAGAACGCCUGGUGGUUAAUACCCAUCAGGAAAGACAUCACUCACAGAAGAAGCACCGGCUAACUCCGUGCCAGCAGCCGCGGUAAUACGGAGGGUGCGAGCGUUAAUCGGAAUUACUGGGCGUAAAGCGCGCGUAGGUGGCUUGAUAAGCCGGUUGUGAAAGCCCCGGGCUCAACCUGGGAACGGCAUUCGGAACUGUCAAGCUAGAGUGUAGGAGAGGAAGGUAGAAUUCCCGGUGUAGCGGUGAAAUGCGUAGAGAUCGGGAGGAAUACCAGUGGCGAAGGCGGCCUUCUGGACUGACACUGACACUGAGGUGCGAAAGCGUGGGUAGCAAACAGGAUUAGAUACCCCGGUAGUC
rnacentral:rRNA from 1 species